rnacentral:rRNA from 1 species
GUAGUUUGAUCAUGGCUCAGGACGAACGCUGGCGGCGUGCUUAACACAUGCAAGUCGAACGGAGUGCCUAUGAUAGAGACUUCGGUCAAUGGAUUAGGUUACUUAGUGGCGGACUGGUGAGUAACGCGUGAGGAACCUGCCUUUCAGAGGGGGACAACAGUUGGAAACGACUGCUAAUACCGCAUGACACAUCGAUGGGGCAUCCUUGAUAUAUCAAAGAUUUAUCGCUGAAAGAUGGCCUCGCGUCUGAUUAGAUAGUUGGUGAGGUAACGGCCCACCAAGUCGACGAUCAGUAGCCGGACUGAGAGGUUGACCGGCCACAUUGGGACUGAGAUACGGCCCAGACUCCUACGGGAGGCAGCAGUGGGGAAUAUUGGGCAAUGGACGCAAGUCUGACCCAGCAACGCCGCGUGAAGGAAGAAGGCUUUCGGGUUGUAAACUUCUUUUAAGAGGGAAGAGGAGAAGACGGUACCUCUUGAAUAAGCCACGGCUAACUACGUG